GUCGAGCGAAGCGCUUAAGUUUGAUUCUUCGGAUGAAGACUUUUGUGACUGAGCGGCGGACGGGUGAGUAACGCGUGGGUAACCUGCCUCAUACAGGGGGAUAACAGUUAGAAAUGGCUGCUAAUACCGCAUAAGACCACAGUACUGCAUGGUACAGUGGUAAAAACUCCGGUGGUAUGAGAUGGACCCGCGUCUGAUUAGGUAGUUGGUGAGGUAACGGCCCACCAAGCCGACGAUCAGUAGCCGACCUGAGAGGGUGACCGGCCACAUUGGGACUGAGACACGGCCCAGACUCCUACGGGAGGCAGCAGUGGGGAAUAUUGCACAAUGGGCGAAAGCCUGAUGCAGCGACGCCGCGUGAAGGAUGAAGUAUUUCGGUAUGUAAACUUCUAUCAGCAGGGAAGAAAAUGACGGUACCUGACUAAGAAGCCCCGGCUAACUACGUGCCAGCAGCCGCGGUAAUACGUAGGGGGCAAGCGUUAUCCGGAUUUACUGGGUGUAAAGGGAGCGUAGACGGCUGUGCAAGUCUGAAGUGAAAGGCAUGGGCUCAACCUGUGGACUGCUUUGGAAACUGUGCAGCUAGAGUGUCGGAGAGGUAAGUGGAAUUCCUAGUGUAGCGGUGAAAUGCGUAGAUAUUAGGAGGAACACCAGUGGCGAAGGCGGCUUACUGGACGAU
rnacentral:rRNA from 1 species